AGCGAACGCUGGCGGCAGGCCUAACACAUGCAAGUCGAACGAACCUUUCGGGGUUAGUGGCGGACGGGUGAGUAACACGUGGGAACGUGCCUUUAGGUUCGGAAUAACUCAGGUAAACUUGUGCUAAUACCGAAUGUGCCCUUCUGGUGAAAGAUUUAUCGCCUUUAGAGCGGCCCGCGUCUGAUUAGCUAGUUGGUUGAGGUAAUGGCUCACCAAGGCUACGAUCAGUAGCUGGUCUGAGAGGAUGAUCAGCCACAUUGGUACUGGGACACGGACCAAAAUACUACGGGAGGCAGCAGUGGGGAAUCUUGCGCAAUGGGCGAAAGCCUGAAGCAGCCAUGCCGCGUGAAUGAUGAAGGUCUUAGGAUAGUACAAUUCUUUAACCGGGGACGAUAAUGACGGUACCCGGAGAAGAAGCCCCGGCUAACUUCGUG
rnacentral:rRNA from 1 species